UACGUAGGGGGCGAGCGUUAUCCGGAAUUACUGGGCGUAAAGCGUGCGCAGGCGGUUUGUUAAGUCCGUUGUGAAAGCCCCGAGCUCAACUUGGGAAUUGCAGUGGAUACUGGCAGGCUGGAGUACGGUAGAGGAAGGUGGAAUUCCCGGUGUAGCAGUGAAAUGCGUAGAUAUCGGGAGGAACACCAGUGGCGAAGGCGAUCACCUGGGGUUGUUCUGACGCUGAGGAGCGAAAGCUAGGGGAGCAAACGGG
rnacentral:rRNA from 1 species